rnacentral:lncRNA from 1 species
CCCAAACGCUGCCGUCGUGGCCGAUGAUGGCGGCGGCAGAGAGGUGGUUACCCUCGACGUCGCAGAGGAGAUGGUCGUCAACGUAGGUCUGCCACGACAUCUUAGACUGGGUGAGAAGCUAGAGUUUUGCGGGAGAAAGGGAAAGAAGGUUCUGGAAGAGCUAAGAAGAGAGCUUGAAGGAGGAGGGGGUGGGGAGCUGGAGAUUUGGUUGCUGCUGGUGGUGUCUAAUAAGGGAAAGAGAAAUGCUGGCUGGCUGGCUGGCUGGUUGUAUUUCUUAUCUGUAAAGAGAGCAGAGAGACAUUGCGUUGAAUCAACGGGACAUUUUAUAUUUCG